rnacentral:rRNA from 1 species
GUAGGUGGCAAGCGUUGUCCGGAAUUAUUGGGCGUAAAGCGCGCGCAAGCGGUUCUUUAAGUCUGAUGUGAAAGCCCACGGGCUCAACCGUGGAGGGUCAUUGGAAACUGGAGAACUUGAGUACAGAAGAGGAAAGCGGAAUUCCACGUGUAGCGGUGAAAUGCGUAGAGAUGUGGAGGAACACCAGUGGCGAAGGCGGCUUUCUGGUCUGUAACUGACGCUGAGGCGCGAAAGCGUGGGGAGCAAACAGGAUUAGAUACCCUGGUAGUCCACGCCGUAAACGAUGAGUGCUAAGUGUUAGGGGGUUUCCGCCCCUUAGUGCUGCAGCUAACGCAUUAAGCACUCCGCCUGGGGAGUACGGCCGCAAGGCUG